UACGGGAGGCAGCAGUGGGGAAUAUUGCACAAUGGGCGAAAGCCUGAUGCAGCUAUGCCGCGUGUAUGAAGAAGGCCUUAGGGUUGUAAAGUACUUUCAUCGGGGAGGAAAAAACAAAACUAAUAAUUUUAUUUCUUGACGUUACCCGAAAAAGAAGCACCGGCUAACUCCGUGCCAGCAGCCGCGGUAAUACGGAGGGUGCUAGCGUUAAUCAGAAUUACUGGGCGUAAAGAGCACGUAGGUGGUUUUUUUAAGUCAGAUGUGAAUCCCUGGGCUUAACCUAGGAACUGCAUUUUGAAACUGAAAUACUAGAGUAUCGUAGAGGGAGGUAGAAUUCUAGGUGUAGCGGUGAAAUGCGUAGAUAUCUGGAGGAAUACCUGUGGCGAAAGCGGCCUCCUAAACGAAUACUGACACUAGAGGUGCGAAAGCGUGGGGAGCAAACAGGGAUUAGAUACC
rnacentral:rRNA from 1 species